GUGGACAUUUUGGAUUUAGAAGGUUUUGAUAACGUUUUUGGAUGGCAUGCAUAUUUAUGGUAUGAUAAAGUUAAAGCGCAUAAGGCCUUUAAGAACCAUAUUGUCAGGAAAGCAUUGUUUAAUGUUUGGGUGAGAUACAAGGAUUUGUUGGAAAGUAAAACACCAAGGUGGCUGUCACCAAUGGAGGCAAAGGCAUUGAAAAAAACUAAUAUGGAGACAAACUGGCCAAAAUAUUGUGAAAUUUUAGAACAAGUUGGAGAUAAAUUAAAAUUGCAGAGUUUUGACAAAUUAAAAACCAAAGUUCGAGAUUGGUUGCAUUAUUAUCAAAUAAGGGAGGUUUUUAACUUAGACAAAAAGAUUGGUUUCCAGGAGGAAAAAUCUAAACUGGAAACGGAAUUGUUAGAACCUAAAACUAAAAAUUUGUCAAGAAUGUAUAAUCUGCUGUUGAAAUGGAAUACACAGGAUGAAAUGGUUAAAUCUGUUAUGAUUAAAUGGGCGCAAGAUGUUGGGCAUAACAUUAUGUUUGCUGACUGGGAACGGUUAUGGACCACAGGUAUGAAAUUUACGGCUUGCAAUGCUUUAAGAGAAAACAUAAUGAAAAUGAUUUACAGGUGGUACUUAACCCCAGUCAAGCUAGCAAAAAUUUAUCAUUUGCCUGAUAAUAAAUGUUGGAAAUGUAAAGAAAACGAAGGUACUUUCUUUCACCUUUGGUGGACGUGCCCAAAGAUCAAGGCAUUCUGGGAAAUGAUAUAUAAUGAAUUAAAAAAGGUAUUGAAAUAUACUUUUUUAAAGAAACCAGAGGCCUUCCUCUUGGGCAUGGUCGGUCAAUUGGUGCGAAGGGAAGAUAGAACUUUUUUCAUGUAUGCGACAGCAGCAGCAAGAAUACUUAUUGGGAAAUAUUGGAAGACACAAGAAUUGCCUACCCGAGAAGAAUGGCAGAGAAAAGUGAUAGACUAUAUGGAACUGGCUGAGAUGACCGGAAGAAUUCGAGAUCAAGAAGAAGGGUCGAUGGAAGAAGAUUGGAAAAAGUUUAAAACAUAUCUUCAGAAUCACUGUAACAUAAAAGAAUGUUAGGAAAGGUUGGAGAAGAAAUAUUAGACCGUAUUGGCAGACAGAGUAUAAUGGAAUUAAGUAAAUAUGAAGUGUAAAUUAAAAGAUAGAGGAGAAUUAAAUAUUUUUGAAUGUUAAAAUGUUAAAAUAAGCAAAUGAAAAGAAGGUUAGAAGGAUUUGCUGGAGAUACAAUUUGAAUUAGAAUACAAAGCAGAGAAGUGAGAGGAAGUCACGGAAAUAAGUAAAUGGGAAAACGGUUUGUUUAAAUUGAAUUUUUCUUUUGUUAUUUUUUAUUGUGAUUUUUUGUCUUGUGUAUUUUUUUUCUUGUAUGGUGUGUCUCUUUUGUAAGAUGUAUGUGAUUGGUUUUUCUUGCUUUAUUUUUUCUUUUUUUUGUAAUCUUAAAAUUUGAAUAAAUAUUUUUU